GAUGAACGCUGGCGGCGUGCCUAAUACAUGCAAGUCGAGCGAACAGACGAGGAGCUUGCUCCUCUGACGUUAGCGGCGGACGGGUGAGUAACACGUGGAUAACCUACCUGUAAGACUGGGAUAACUUCGGGAAACCGGAGCUAAUACCGGAGAAUAUAUUGAACCGCAUGGUUCAAUAGUGAAAGGCGGUUUUGCUGUCACUUAUAGCUGGAUCCGCGCCGCAUUAGCUAGUUGGUAAGGUAACGGCUUACCACGGCGCCGAUUCGUACCCGACCCGGGAGCGUGAUCGGUCACACUGGAACUCAGACACGUUCCCCACUCCUACGGGAGGCCGCAGCAGGGAAUCUUCCGCCAUGCGCGAAAGCUUGACCGAGCACCGCCGCGUGAGUGAUGAAGGUCCUCGGAUCGUAAAACUCUGUUCUGCGCGAAGAACAAAUGUGUAAGUCACUAUGCACCUCUUGCCGGUACCUAAUCAGAACGCCACGCCUACCUACGUG
rnacentral:rRNA from 1 species